rnacentral:rRNA from 1 species
ACGUCAAGUCCUCAUGGCCCUUAUGGGCGGGGCUACACACGUGCUACAAUGGUGGUGACAAAGAGAAGCAAGCAGGCGACUGUGAGCAAAUCUCAAAAAGCCAUCUCAGUUCAGAUUGCACUCUGCAACUCGAGUGCAUGAAGUUGGAAUCGCUAGUAAUCGCGGAUCAGCAUGCCGCGGUGAAUACGUUCUCGGGUCUU